rnacentral:rRNA from 1 species
UGGGGAAUAUUGCGCAAUGGGCGAAAGCCUGACGCAGCCAUGCCGCGUGAGUGAAGAAGGCCCUAGGGUUGUAAAGCUCUUUCGCCGGUGAAGAUAAUGACGGUAACCGGUAAAGAAGUCCCGGCUAACUCUGUGCCAGCAGCCGCGGUAAUACAGAGGGGACUAGUGUUGUUCGGAAUUACUGGGCGUAAAGCGCACGCAGGCGGCGUGGUCAGUUGGAGGUGAAAGCCUAGGGCCCAACCCUAGAAGUGCCUCCAAUACUGUCACGCUAGAGUUCGGAAGAGGUGAGUGGAAUUCCUAGUGUAGAGGUGGAAUUCGUAGAUACUAGGAGGAACACCAGAGGCGAAGGCGGCUCACUGGUCCGAUUACUGACGCUCAGGUGCGAAGGCGUGGGGAGCAAACAGG